rnacentral:rRNA from 1 species
GGAGCUCCGUGCCAGCGGCCGAGGUAGUUCAUGGGGGGCUAGCGUGGGCCGGAGUGAUUGGGCGGAAAGGGCUCGUAGGGGGUGUGGUAAGGAAGGUGUGAAAUCUCCACGCUCAACGUGGGGGCGCCACCUGAAACUGCCGUGACUCGAGUCCGGUAGGGGAGUGUGGAAUUCCCGGUGUAGCGGUGAAAUGCGCAGAUAUCGGGAGGAACACCAGUGGCGAAGGCGGCACUCUGGGCCGGUACUGACGCUGAGGAGCGAAAGCGUGGGGAGCGAACAGGAUUAGAUACCCUGGUAGUC